UUUUUUUUUUUUGCCCUUUUCAUUCUUGAAUAAAGGUUGAUGAAACUGCAAGAAAUUUGAACAGACAUUGCUUUAGCAGUUUAGCACCAUUCUUUGAAAUUUUGGAUAUUACCAUCUCCAACACAGGGCACAAAAUGGAUAUGGGUUAAUCAGGGAGCUUUAUCCAGUGUCUUUUGUGCUUUUUGGUAUUUAGGGCAGGGAGCUUUGCACUAAGAGGUUUGUGGAUUUCUGUGCAGGUGUGAUGUUUAUAGUUUUGGCAUCAUUUUGUGGGAAUUAGCAACCCUCAGACUACCUUGGAAUGGGAUGAAUCCAAUGCAGGUUGUGGGUGCUGUAGGCUUUCAAAAUCGCCGUCUUGAUAUACCAAAGGAAGUUGAUCCAUUAGUAGCUAGAAUAAUUUGGGAAUGUUGGCAAACGGACCCAAAUCUGCGCCCUUCAUUUAGUCAACUCACAGUGGCAUUGAAACCAUUGCAGCGGCUUGUCAUCCCUUCGCACAUAGAUCAGCCAAGCCAACCCAUGCCUCAGGAGAUCUCGGUGAAUUCCACGCCUUAAGACACAUCUCAGAUCCUCAACUGUGAAAAAAUAUUGUUGUGUUUGCACAGGAUGACGAACAUGAACUAUUCAGAGAAAGUGAUAAAGUUUUGGAGUCGCUUCCCUGAUGGAAACAAAAGCUGGGGAUUUGCUGUUUGAGUUGGGAGUCAGAACUCAAAUUUGCGAAUGCAGUUUUAAGGUCAAAAGCAAAAGUUAAUGUGUGUGUAUUGUUUCUGCAGCUCAAAACUUGCUGUGGCUCUUCUUGUACAGUGGCUUGUGCAUAUGUGAUCCCAAUGCUUAAAAUGUAUAGCUUGAUGUCUUGUAAUAUUUCUUGUUGGUCUCAUUAAAAAUAUUGAAAAGCUACCAUGUUAUCAUUGCUCGGCGCAAAAAAAAAAAAAAUCAUUUUAAGCCGAUAAUAAUUGCUGCUAUUUGCCAUUGGAACACA